rnacentral:rRNA from 1 species
GAGCGGACGAAGGKAGCUUGYACCCGGAUGUUAGCGGCGGACGGGUGAGUAAUACGUGGGUAACCUGCCUGUAAGACUGGGAUAACUCCGGGAAACCGGAGCUAAUACCGGAUAGUUCCUUGAACCGCAUGGUUCAGGAUGAAAGACGGUUUCGGCUGUCACUUACAGAUGGACCCGCGGCGCAUUAGCUAGUUGGUGGGGUAAUGGCUCACCAAGGCGACGAUGCGUAGCCGACCUGAGAGGGUGAUCGGCCACACUGGGACUGAGACACGGCCCAGACUCCUACGGGAGGCAGCAGUAGGGAAUCUUCCGCAAUGGACGAAAGUCUGACGGAGCAACGCCGCGUGAGUGAUGAAGGUUUUCGGAUCGUAAAGCUCUGUUGUUAGGGAASAACAAGUGCGAGAGUAACUGCUCGCACCUUGACGGUACCUAACCAGAAAGCCACGGCUAACUACGUGCCAGCAGCCGCGGUAAUACGUAGGUGGCAAGCGUUGUCCGGAAUUAUUGGGCGUAAAGGGCUCGCAGGCGGUUUCUUAAGUCUGAUGUGAAAGCCCCCGGCUCAACCGGGGAGGGUCAUUGGAAACUGGGAAAACUUGAGUGCAGAAGAGGAGAGUGGAAAUUCCACGUGUAGCGGUGAAAUGYGUARAARAUGUGGAGGAAACACCAGUGGCGAAASGCGACUCUCUGGUCUGUAACUGACKCUGAGAGCG